rnacentral:rRNA from 1 species
ACGCUCGACACCUAAGGCAGCAGUGGGGAAUAUUGCACAAUGGGGGAAACCCUGAUGCAGCGACGCCGCGUGAGUGAAGAAGUAAUUCGUUAUGUAAAGCUCUAUCAGCAGGGAAGAAAGUGACGGUACCUGAGUAAGAAGCCCCGGCUAACUACGUGCCCGCAGCCGCGGUAAUACUGAGCGGGCGUGGCGAAGGACG